UACGAAGGGUGCAAGCGUUACUCGGAAUUACUGGGCGUAAAGAGUGUGUAGGCGGUGCUCUAAGUUCGGUGUGAAGUCUCCUGGCUCAACUGGGAGGGUGCGCCGGAAACUGGAGUGCUUGAGCGUGGGAGAGGAAAGCGGAAUUCCUGGUGUAGCGGUGAAAUGCGUAGAUAUCAGGAGGAACACCUGUGGUGUAGACGGCUUUCUGGACCAUAGCUGACGCUGAGACACGAAAGCGUGGGUAGCAAACAGG
rnacentral:rRNA from 1 species